UACAGAGGGGGCAAGCGUUAUUCGGAUUCACUGGGCGUAAAGGGUGCGCAGGCGGCCGUGUGUGUGAGGCGUGAAAGCCUGGAGCUUAACUCCAGAAUUGCACCUCAAACUACACGGCUAGAGCAUUGGAGAGGGUAGCAGAAUUCACGGUGUAGCAGUGAAAUGCGUAGAUAUCGUGAGGAAUACCAGAGGCGAAGGCGGCUACCUGGACAAUUGCUGACGCUCAGGCACGAAAGCGUGGGGAGCAAAAGGG
rnacentral:rRNA from 1 species